AUGUCAUCGUGAGGAACACAUUCACAUUCAGAGGGACAGAAUAAGUCCAAUUUCCAAUGUCCCAGCAUGAAGACAGGAUCCCCUAAACCCGAGAACAUUCGCUGUGCACUAGGAGAGCAUGACAGACAUCCGGGGAACAGACAGACAGACAGCCAAGACCUGCCCCGCCUUCAGGAGGAGGCACAGCUGGUGGAGUGGCGCCUUGGAAGAACGAAGACCCAUUUCAGGUCCCCGUGCAACGUGAGUGUGUGCUGUCACACCCACAGAAUCUAAGGACCCUGGAGGCAGAGACAGGCAGAUCUCUGGAGCUCACUGACUAGCAAGUCUUACAUGGGGUGAACCCCAGAUUCAGUGAGGAACCCUGUCUCAAAAUAUAGAGUGAUAGAAGAUACUGACCUUUGACCUGUGACCUCCACAAGUGUCUACACACACACCUGCACACACAGUGCAUGUACCUACAUAUACACCAAACACCACAUAUACAACCCCCCCUCACACCUUUCC